UACGUAGGGUGCGAGCGUUUGUCCGGAAUUACUGGGCGUAAAGAGCUCGUAGGUGGUUUGUCGCGUUGUCCGUGAAAACUCACAACUCAAUUGUGGGCGUGCGGGCGAUACGGGCAGACUGGAGUACUGCAGGGGAGACUGGAAUUCCUGGUGUAGCGGUGGAAUGCGCAGAUAUCUGGAGGAACACCGGUGGCGAAGGCGGCAUCCUGGACCGACACUGACGCUGAGGAGCGAAAGCCAGGGGAGCCAA
rnacentral:rRNA from 1 species